CCUACGGGAGGCAGCAGUUGGGAAUUGUACACAAUGGGCGCAAGCCUGAUGUCGCGACGCCGCGUGGAGGAUGAAGGCUUUCGGGUCGUAAACUCCUUUUACCCAGGGAAAAUUGUGAUGGUACCUGGGGAAUAAGGACCUGCUAACUACGUGC
rnacentral:rRNA from 1 species